rnacentral:rRNA from 1 species
GAUGAACGCUGGCGGCGUGCCUAAUACAUGCAAGUCGAGCGAAUGGAUUAAGAGCUUGCUCUUAUGAAGUUAGCGGCGGACGGGUGAGUAACACGUGGGUAACCUGCCCAUAAGACUGGGAUAACUCAGGGAAACCGGGGCUAAUACCGGAUAACAUUUUGAAACGCAUGGUUGGAAAUUGAAAGGCAGCCUCGGCUGUCACGUAUGGCUGGACACGCGUCGCAUUAGGUAGUUGGUGAGGUAACGGCUCACCAAGGGAACGUUGGGUAGCCGACCUGAGAGGGUGAUAGGCCACACUGGGACUGGGACACGGCCCAGACUCCUACGGGAGGGAGCAGUAGGGAAUCUUCCGCAAUGGACGAGAGUCUGAAGGAGCAACGCCGCGUGAGUGAUGAAGGCUUUCGGGUCGUAGAACUCUGUUGUUAGGGAAGAACAAGUGCUAGUUGAAUAAGCUGGCACCUUGACGGUACCUAACCAGAAAGCCACGGCUAACUACGUGCCAGCCGCCGCCGUAA